rnacentral:rRNA from 1 species
CCUACGGGGGGCUGCAGUGAGGAAUAUUGGUCAAUGGACGAGAGUCUGAACCAGCCAAGUAGCGUGAAGGAUGACUGCCCUAUGGUUUGUAAACUUCUUUUAUAUGGGAAUAAAACGUUCCACGUGUGGGAUUUUGUAUGUACCAUAUGAAUAAGGAUCGGCUAACUCCGUGCCAGCAGCCGCGGUAAUACGGAGGAUCCGAGCGUUAUCCGGAUUUAUUGGGUUUAAAGGGAGCGUAGGUGGAUUGUUAAGUCAGUUGUGAAAGUUUGCGGCUCAACCGUAAAAUUGCAGUUGAAACUGGCAGUCUUGAGUACAGUAGAGGUGGGCGGAAUUCGUGGUGUAGCGGUGAAAUGCUUAGAUAUCACGAAGAACUCCGAUUGCGAAGGCAGUUCACUGGACUGCAACUGACACUGAGGCUCGAAAGUGUGGGUAUCAAACAGGAUUAGAUACCCUUGUAGUC